rnacentral:rRNA from 1 species
AGAGUUUGAUCAUGGCUCAGGAUGAACGCUAGCUACAGGCUUAACACAUGCAAGUCGAGGGGCAGCAUGGACCCAGCUUUGCUGGGUUUGAUGGCGACUAGCGCACGGGUGAGUAACGCGUAUCCAACCUGCCCUUUACUCCGGGAUAGUCUCCUGAAAGGGAGUUUAAUACCGGAUGUGUUUGUCUUUCCGCAUGGGAGCGACAAAUAAAGAUUGAUUGGUAAAGGAUGGGGAUGCGUCCCAUUAG